rnacentral:rRNA from 1 species
AUUGAACGCUGGCGGCAGGCCUAACACAUGCAAGUCGAGCGGAUGAAGGGAGCUUGCUCCUGGAUUCAGCGGCGGACGGGUGAGUAAUGCCUAGGAAUCUGCCUGGUAGUGGGGGAUAACGUCCGGAAACGGGCGCUAAUACCGCAUACGUCCUGAGGGAGAAAGUGGGGGAUCUUCGGACCUCACGCUAUCAGAUGAGCCUAGGUCGGAUUAGCUAGUUGGUGGGGUAAAGGCCUACCAAGGCGACGAUCCGUAACUGGUCUGAGAGGAUGAUCAGUCACACUGGAACUGAGACACGAUCCAGGCUCCUACGGGAGGCAGCAGUGGGGAAUAUUGGACAAUGGGCGAAAGCCUGAUCCAGCCAUGCCGCGUGUGUGAAGAAGGUCUUCGGAUUGUAAAGCACUUUAAGUUGGGAGGAAGGGCAGUAAGUUAAUACCUUGCUGUUUUGACGUUACCAACAGAAUAAGCACCGGCUAACUUCGUG